UGUAAGUGUAUUUCAAAGAUAUUAUUUACCACAGAAUAAUUAUUCGAACAUGUUUACACCGCGCCAGCCUCUUUCCUGAUCCUGUUUAAAGUUACAGGAUGUGUUAUCUUCUCUUCCUGCACCUGCUAUUGAUUCUGCUCAGAGGAUUCCCAACAAUACCAAUUAUCAGAUACCAACAAGAAUGGACAGUCACCUUGCUAUGUCCAACAGACUCCUCCAGAAGCAAGGAACUGCCAGUCCAGUACAUCACAGGAGGCAUUGCUAUUGGGCGGCAAAAAAAAUUCACCCUUCAGGAAGAUAUUUGACCACAGCCUGCAGAAGAUGUGUGAAUCAGGCCUGAUGAACAAGCUGAGAACCAAAUGGCUAUCAGCAGGAACCUCAACAUGUGGCAGGAAGACUAAAAAUCACGGCCAGCCUCUCUGAUGUGGCUGCAGUCUUCAUCCUCUUGAUAGGUGGUGCAGCAUUUAGCUGUCUGCUGCUGCUGCUACUGCUGGAGUAUGUGGUGGGCAGUGAUGCAUGUGUGAAAUCAUGGCCUGUAUUCUGAAAUGCUCAGCUCUCUCACCAUGACCAUUUUCAGAGGCCACAUAGAUGGGUUCUCAAGGUUUCUCCUGUUGAUAAAUUUGAAAUCUUGUUAAUUUGGCAUUAGACCUGUAUAAGCACUUUUAACGUCUGUGUACCUUCAUCUAGAGCCUUUUGAAAGCAGUGGAGGUAAAGUUUAGAAGACAUAACACUUGAAAGCAACAAUAACCUUCAGUUCUAUCUACCUAGUACAGUAUAUGGACCGGCUGACAAACCCACACAGGGAGGCCAAGGCAAAGCACAUAACAUACCUUAACGAUUGAAAGUCUAACAUAUCCUGCCAUGUACAUAAGAGCAUAAGGGAAGCUGCAAGACUACACUAGGCAGGCCCUCUAUAAAGCAUAUUUACCACACUUACAGGUACAACAUGCAAGACAGAGGUGGUGGAUGAUGAGUUCCUGGGGAUUGCUGACCUCAGUGAAGCACAGACAUAACAAGAGACGGGAGACCUACACUGUUAAAGCCUUAAGCAUUCUAAUCACAUUCCAUGUAACUCUCUUCACUCUUAGAUCCCUUAUUGGGUAUUCUUAUGUAUAAUUGCUCACAAAUAUGGAGUUUAGUUAUAAC